rnacentral:rRNA from 2 species
GGCCUACACAUGCAAGUCGAGCGGUAGAGAGAAGCUUGCUUCUCUUGAGAGCGGCGGACGGGUGAGUAAUGCCUAGGAAUCUGCCUAGUGGUGGGGGAUAACGUUCGGAAACGGACGCUAAUACCGCAUACGUCCUACGGGAGAAAGCGGGGGAUCUUCGGACCUCGCGCCAUUAGAUGAGCCUAGGUCGGAUUAGCUAGUUGGUGAGGUAAUGGCUCACCAAGGCGACGAUCCGUAACUGGUCUGAGAGGAUGAUCAGUCACACUGGAACUGAGACACGGUCCAGACUCCUACGGGAGGCAGCAGUGGGGAAUAUUGGACAAUGGGCGAAAGCCUGAUCCAGCCAUGCCGCGUGUGUGAAGAAGGUCUUCGGAUUGUAAAGCACUUUAAGUUGGGAGGAAGGGUAGUAACCUAAUACGUUGCUAUUUUGACGUUACCGACAGAAUAAGCACCGGCUAACUUCGUGCCAGCAGCCGCGGUAAUACGAAGGGUGCAAGCGU